UUGGCUGUGAAAGGAGACCUUAAACCA
rnacentral:piRNA from 1 species